UGGGGAAUAUUGGACAAUGGGCGCAAGCCUGAUCCAGCCAUGCCGCGUGAGUGAUGAAGGCCCUAGGGUUGUAAAGCUCUUUCACCGGUGAAGAUAAUGACGGUAACCGGAGAAGAAGCCCCGGCUAACUUCGUGCCAGCAGCCGCGCUAAUACGAAGGGGGCUAGCGUUGUUCGGUUUUACUGGGCGUAAAGCGCACGUAGGCGGACUUUUAAGUCAGGGGUGAAAUCCCGGGGCUCAACCCCGGAACUGCCUUUGAUACUGGAAGUCUUGAUUAUGGUAGAGGUGAGUGGAAUUCCGAGUGUAGAGGUGAAAUUCGUAAAUAUUCGGAGGAACACCAGUGGCGAAGGCGGCUCACUGGACCAUUACUGACGAUGAGGUGCGAAAGCGUGGGGAGCAAACAGG
rnacentral:rRNA from 1 species